UGGCGAACGGGUGAGUAACACGUGAGCAAUCUGCCCCUGACUCUGGGAUAAGCGCUGGAAACGGCGUCUAAUACUGGAUACGAACCGUGGAGGCAUCUUCAACGGUUGGAAAGAUUUUUUGGUCAGGGAUGAGCUCGCGGCCUAUCAGCUUGUUGGUGAGGUAAUGGCUCACCAAGGCGUCGACGGGUAGCCGGCCUGAGAGGGUGACCGGCCACACUGGGACUGAGACACGGCCCAGACUCCUACGGGAGGCAGCAGUGGGGAAUAUUGCACAAUGGGCGAAAGCCUGAUGCAGCAACGCCGCGUGAGGGAUGACGGCCUUCGGGUUGUAAACCUCUUUUAGCAGGGAAGAAGCGAAAGUGACGGUACCUGCAGAAAAAGCGCCGGCUAACUACGUGCCAGCAGCCGCGGUAAUACGUAGGGCGCAAGCGUUAUCCGGAAUUAUUGGGCGUAAAGAGCUCGUAGGCGGUUUGUCGCGUCUGCUGUGAAAUCCCGAGGCUCAACUUCGGGUCUGCAGUGGGUACGGGCAGACUAGAGUGCGGUAGGGGAGAUUGGAAUUCCUGGUGUAGCGGUGGAAUGCGCAGAUAUCAGGAGGAACACCGAUGGCGAAGGCAGAUCUCUGGGCCGUAACUGACGCUGAGGAGCGAAAGGGUGGGGAGCAAACAGGCUUAGAUACCCUGGUAGUCCACCCCGUAAACGUUGGGAACUAGUUGUGGGGUCCAUUCCACGGAUUCCGUGACGCAGCUAACGCAUUAAGUUCCCCGCCUGGGGAGUACGGCCGCAAGGCUAAAACUCAAAGGAAUUGACGGGGACCCGCACAAGCGGCGGAGCAUGCGGAUUAAUUCGAUGCAACGCGAAGAACCUUACCAAGGCUUGACAUAUACGAGAACGCUGCAGAAAUGUAGAACUCUUUGGACACUCGUAAACAGGUGGUGCAUGGUUGUCGUCAGCUCGUGUCGUGAGAUGUUGGGUUAAGUCCCGCAACGAGCGCAACCCUCGUUCUAUGUUGCCAGCACGUAAUGGUGGGAACUCAUGGGAUACUGCCGGGGUCAACUCGGAGGAAGGUGGGGAUGACGUCAAAUCAUCAUGCCCCUUAUGUCUUGGGCUUCACGCAUGCUACAAUGGCCGGUACAAAGGGCUGCAAUACCGUGAGGUGGAGCGAAUCCCAAAAAGCCGGUCCCAUUUCGGAUUGAGGUCUGCAACUCGACCUCAUGAAGUCGGAGUCGCUAGUAAUCGCAGAUCAGCAACGCUGCGGUGAAUACGUUCCCGGGUCUUGUACACACCGCCCGUCAAGUCAUGAAAGUCGGUAACACCUGAAGCCGGUGGCCCAACCCUU
rnacentral:rRNA from 1 species